rnacentral:misc_RNA from 1 species
CUCUCGGUCAUAACUUGGGGACUGGCGACAGACCCCCCUCUCGAGACCUACAAUGUUGACAGAUCCGGGUUAUCAGUCUCCGGUGUGUCAUCAGGGGCCAUCAUGGCGUCACAACUACACGUCAUCUACUCCAGCAAAAUCAUGGGCGUCGGAUUAGUGGCAGGAGUGCCCUUCGCCUGCUCGGGGGGUAGUCUGGCGGGACUGUCCACGUGUAUGAAGGUCCCGUCCCUGGAGUCGGUUGCCACAUUCACGGCCCUAGUUACCACGGGGGCAUUCUUUGGGAACGUGGACGCCACCUACCAUAUGCGUCACGACAAAGUGUUCAUCUUCAGCGGACAACAAGACUCCGUGGUACAUCCGGACAACGGUCCAAACAUCGCUCGUUUUUAUGAGCACUUCAUCCACGACAGCCACAAUAUCAAGAAGGUUUUCAACCUGCAGACAGAACACUGCAUGCCGACGGAAAACUUCGGAGGUUCGUGUUCAGUACUCUCAGACACAAACUAUCUCAACAACUGUGGCUAUAAUGGUGCGUUCGAAAUCCUCAACUUCAUUUAUGGGGGACAUUUAGUGAGACCAUCCAGUAAUACAGCGUUAUCUGGCGAGUUGCGGAAGUUUAACCAGGCUGAGUUUUUCACGGCACCACCCCUGACCUAUAGUUUUGACACCACCGGGUAUAUCUACAUACCAUCUAGAUGUCGGGACAAAUCACACAGUCAAAUGCAAACUCCACGUGGCCCUGCACGGAUGUAAAAUGGGCAGACAUUACAUAAAUGAGGACUACGUCAGACACGGGGGAUAUAACGAGGUGGGGGAGCUGAAUGACGUCAUCAUCCUCUACCCCCAGGUCGUUCCCAUCCCCCUCAACCCCUACGGUUGUUGGGAUGGGUAUGGAUACACCGGCGCCAUGUUUGCUACUAACAAAGGAUUCCAGGAGGAAGGCGUCAGACGAAUGAUGAGACAAGUAAUGGGAGGAUGGUGAUGGUCACGUGGAGAUCACGUGAUGAGAGUCACAUGGUUUAUCUACGCAAUAAUUCCAUUAGGAAGAGUAUUUCGCUAUUGAUAAUAAUAGUAUUUUUGAUAACAAGCCUUUAAUAAUAAUAAAAUGACAUACAUUAUG